GAGAACCAAGAGAUCCGUUGUUGAAAGUUUUGACUAUUAGUAAUAAUCUGGUGUGACAAGUUGAUAAAAAAUUGGUUGUAAGUUUAGACCUCUGGCGACAGGCUGGGCCCACCGCCAAAGCAAGUUUGUUUCAAAGAAAAACACAUGUGGUGCAAUUAAGCAAAUCAGUAAUGAUCCUU
rnacentral:misc_RNA from 1 species